rnacentral:lncRNA from 1 species
GUUCACAGUAAUAAUCCCAAUUGCGGUUGCCACUAUAAGGCCGUGGCCGAGGUGUCCUCUGUUUGUCAUGUGACAGACGAUGGAGGUUUAGUGAUCGUGUCAAGGCAAAUCGCUUGUUGCAGGUGGGGCACUCGUAAGGAACUUCUUUGGACAAUGGCUAAAAAGAAAAAGUGAAGCAACCACACAAACAUUAAGCCGCAGUUGGAAACUGCAAUGGUCCACACAUCAAAAUAUGCCACCAUGACAGGCAGUGGAGCUUUUCCAUGAUCUGCAUUGUCUAGUGCUUGUCUGAGUGAAAGCUCCUUACAACUAGUGCUACGACCUUAUGUGAGAGAGGGAUGAAUGCCAAACAAGCUUGCUUAAUGAAACAGAAGAGCUCAGUGAUUUCAGACUGCAACACAGUUGAGUUCGACCAUAAGUACAACUGAAAACAACUCCAAUAAAGCCUUACCUUACUUUGCCUAA